rnacentral:rRNA from 1 species
CCUACGGGAGGCAGCAGUGGGGAAUAUUGCACAAUGGGGGGAACCCUGAUGCAGCGACGCCGCGUGAGUGAAGGAGCAUUUCGGUAUGUAAAGCUCUAUCAGCCGGGAAGAAAAUGACGGUACCUGAUUAAGAAGCCCCUGCUAACUACGUGCCAGCCGCCGCGGUAAUACGUAGGGGGCAGGCGUUAUCCGGAUUUACGGGGUGUAAGGGGAGCGUAGACGGCAGGACAAGACUGGAGUGAAAGGCCGGGGCUUAACCGCGGAACUGCUUUGGAAACUGUGCAGCUAGAGUGCAGGUGUGGUAAGUGGAAUUCCUAGUGUAGCGGUGAAAUGCGUAGAUAUUAGGAGGAACACCAGUGGCGAAGGCGGCUUACUGGACUGUAACUGACGUUGAGGCUCGAAAGCGUGGGGAGCAAACAGGAUUAGAUACCCCUGUAGUC